AAAUUGAAGAGUUUGAUCAUGGCUCAGAUUGAACGCUGGCGGCAGGCCUAACACAUGCAAGUCGAACGGUAACAGGAAGCAGCUUGCUGCUUCGCUGACGAGUGGCGGACGGGUGAGUAAUGUCUGGGAAACUGCCUGAUGGAGGGGGAUAACUGCUGGAAACGGUAGCUAAUACCGCAUAAUGUCGCAAGACCAAAGAGGGGGACCUUCGGGCCUCUUGCCAUCGGAUGUGCCCAGAUGGGAUUAGCUUGUUGGUGGGGUA
rnacentral:rRNA from 1 species